UAUAUAUAAAUAUAUACAUUGUAUUUUCAAAUGAGCAGUUAUUAGGUUGCUAAGUAUUUGAAUUUCUGUGAGCGUAGCUUACCAAWGUCCGAUAGAGGAUUUCCUUUGUCUCUUCCUCCCCCCCUCUCUGAAUCCAUCRUGUUAUAACCAAACUGUCCUGUUUUGUUAGUCCUCUAGAGACUGUAUUUACUGUAUAAUAUUAGUGUGUUUUAUGUAUUCUGUAAUUGUUUAAUUAGUURGUAAAUAAAUAAUUGGGCCAAUUUGUGUAUUCCUGAUUCAUCAAUAAAGUUAGGGCUCGUGCAGAUACCAAGGAAUUAUGGCGUUCAGAAUGACUGACGAGGUAAUAAGAUAUUAAUAAGUGACUGUUAUCACAGAUAAGAAAAUAUCUUAUGAGAGUUUAAUCCGGGAGAUAGUAACUCUUUAAACAAAUGUUCCUGUUGUGCCCCAGCUUACUGAUUAGUUAAUUGUUACAGGAUUCAUUUAAUCACRUAAUCGAUUAAACAUAGUUAAUUGAUUUUAUAAAAUAACCGUCAUCACAUUAAUGAUGACUGCAGUUACCGCACUUUUACUGCAGUUUCAAAACUGCAAUCUUUUUUGUAAGGGUUUGAAAAAUGUCUGCCAUCAAAAUUAGCACAUUUUAUGGAAAUUUGAAAAAAGUGUUUAAUGAUUAUAAUUUUUUAUUUUCAAAUGGUUUCUAGUAAGUGAAUAUCUCAGGAAUAGUUAAGUGAGUUGUCAGGACUGUGUAAUACAUGUUUUCACAUUAAAUAAGAGCUAAAUAAGAGCUUAUCAAUAAAUGUCCUCUGUAGUGGACACCCUGAUGCYGCAACUAUGUUUUUCACCGACUGCAGUGUUAACAUUUCACUCUGCAAAUAGGAGUGAAAAUUGGCUUCCAUAAAGAGCUAGUUCGGAUAUAGGAGCUGAAGUCAGGCUCCUUCAUGACCAGUAUCUGUGACGAGGGGCCUGGAGCUGAUCUACGCUGCCAUGCCUAUUAGGCAUUGGCAAACACCUCAGAAGGGACACAAGGACAGAAGAGAUGCUUUUGAAAUGGAGUCCUUUGACUGAAAGACAGGUUUAUACUGGUGUCUGAAUUGGGAGAGACCUUGUACUCAGCAUUAAAAUUAUACAAGACACUUGU